rnacentral:tRNA from 1 species
UGCGGGAUAGAGCAGUCAGGUAGCUCACCGGGUUCAUACCUCGGGUGUCGUCGGUUCAAAUCCGGCUCCCGCAA